rnacentral:lncRNA from 1 species
AGGAAACUCACCAAAACUAGUUUGAGGAAAGAGAGAAAUUAAAUGGCGGGGCAGAGGUGAUUUCAUAGUCUCUGUGAGCAAAAGCAUAGGCAGGCCUCAUGGGACCCUGGAAAAAGAACAGAAAUACCUGCAAAUGAAGUUCCACUCUCAUUCUCUUACCGGGGGCCAUUCCUGCAUUGCACCCGCAGAUGUUGCUGCUACUCUGCAAGAAAUUUGUGGGGUUCUAACCUCUGCCUCACCAUGUGUCUGCUUCAGUUUCUUCUUUCUGCCAAGGUGGAAAGUGGCCAUCCCAACUGUACCUUUGCAGGACCCAACGCUGACCAUUGAGAGACUCUGGGUCAACUCCAAGCUGGAAUGAGAAAGAGUUGAGUCGACCUAUCCUCAAGCCCAACCAGAAUCCCUCCAUUCCCGUUUUCCUUCCCUGUUAAUCUCUCUCUUCUUCAUUAAUCUUUUCAUUGCUUCAGUAUGGUAACCCAAACUGGUGGAAAGGGGACAGAAAAUGGCACAAUCAGAAACUGAAGCCACAAAGACCUAACAUCCUAUGGAUGAGAUUAUCCAUCUGCUGGAGAGAUGACUUGAAGUGUACAGCAGAUAAGCUUAGAGGGCCUCUCCAGACCCGUCGCAAAGAUGCAAUCUGAAUGUAAUUUAAGAUAAAUAGUAAUCAUGGAAACACUAUCAUAUUAAUCACAGAAAUAAAUGCAGUCCAUGGGCUCUACGUUUGUGGAUUCAACCAACUGAGAAUUGAAAAUAUCCAGAAAAGAAAAAUGGAUGGUUCUGUCUGGACCAAACAUGAAAAAAAUUUGCUCAGCAGCUGCCAGCGAGUCUCAUGAGUUUGAUUAGCCUGAACCAAUCAUCCAGAACUUCAAUGAAUUCACAGAAUUGAGCUCCUGAACCCUCAGAUCUGAAGAUCUUGGUGACCUUGUCAAGGUGCCAG